GAACACCAGUGGCGAAGGCGACUUUCUGGACUGUAACUGACGCUGAGGUACGAAAGCGUGGGUAGCGAACAGGAUUAGAUACCCUGGUAGUCCACGCCGUAAACGAUGGAUACUAGGUGUAGGGGGUAUCGACCCCCCCUGUGCCGGAGUUAACGCAAUAAGUAUCCCGCCUGGGGAGUACGGUCGCAAGACUGAAACUCAAAGGAAUUGACGGGGGCCCGCACAAGCAGCGGAGCAUGUGGUUUAAUUCGAAGCAACGCGAAGAACCUUACCAGGGCUUGACAUCCCGAUGACCGGUACAGAGAUGUACCUUCCCUUCGGGGCAUUGGAGACAGGUGGUGCAUGGUUGUCGUCAGCUCGUGUCGUGAGAUGUUGGGUUAAGUCCCGCAACGAGCGCAACCCCUAUCCUUAGUUGCCAUCAGUUAAAGCUGGGCACUCUAAAGAGACUGCCGGGGAUAACUCGGAGGAAGGUGGGGAUGACGUCAAAUCAUCAUGCCCCUUAUGUCCUGGGCUACACACGUGCUACAAUGGCCUGUAACAGAGGGAAGCGAAGCCGUAAGGCGGAGCAAAACUCAGAAACCAGGUCCCAGUUCGGAUUGUGGGCUGCAACUCGCCCACAUGAAGUCG
rnacentral:rRNA from 1 species